rnacentral:rRNA from 1 species
GACGAACGCUGGCGGCGUGCUUAACACAUGCAAGUCGAACGGAAAGGCCCUGCUUUUGUGGGGUGCUCGAGUGGCGAACGGGUGAGUAACACGUGAGUAACCUGCCCUUGACUUUGGGAUAACUUCAGGAAACUGGGGCUAAUACCGGAUAGGAGCUCCUGCUGCAUGGUGGGGGUUGGAAAGUUUCGGCGGUUGGGGAUGGACUCGCGGCUUAUCAGCUUGUUGGUGGGGUAGUGGCUUACCAAGGCUUUGACGGGUAGCCGGCCUGAGAGGGUGACCGGCCACAUUGGGACUGAGGUACGGACCAGACUCCUACGGGAGGCAGCAGUGGGGAAUAUUGCGCAAUGGGCGGAAGCCUGAUGCGGCAACGCCGCGUGCGGGAUGACGGCCUUCGGGUUGUAAACCGCUUUCGCCUGUGCCGAAGCGUGAGUGACGGUAAUGGGUAAAGAAGCACCGGCUAACUACGUG